UGCUGAGGCAAGGAAAAACGAAGACGGUAACGGAAAUUGGAUGCAGAGUUUGGAAAAAUGUUCCCCGAACGGAAGACCUCUAUCUUCGGUAAUGGGAGGACAUAUUGUUCCAAAACUACUUAAAGUGGCUACACUUGAAAAUGAGCCCCAUGUCUUGCCAGCUGGUGAGGAGAGUGAUGAGGAAGAUGAGAGAACAGGGGAAGCCGUGAGAGCAGACUCAGAGGAAGAUGAGAGAACAGGGGAAGCCAUGAGAGCAGACUCAGAGGAAGAUGAGAGAACAGGGGAAGCCAUGAGAGCAGACUCAGAGGAAGAUGAGAGAACAGGGGAAGCCAUGAGAGGAGAGGAAGAUGAGAGAACAGGGAAAGCCAUGAGAGCAGAGGAAGAUGAAGAAGAGACUGUUGUGUCAAAUGAUCCUGGUUUGUGGCCAACAAAAAUUAGCAAUGCAGACAGAGAAAAAAUUGUUGUAAAAUAGCUUCUUCUAAAGAUAAAGAACAAGAAAUGCCACAUGAUUCAAAAGGUAAAGCCUUCCCCGAAUACCUCAAGAACACAAAUUCAGGAAAUUGCCGGGAAAAGAUUAGAGAGACUGGGUCAUUUACAGCCAAAGCACAAAUGCACUAUUUUGUAUUCCUUGUGUAUUAUUUGGUCAUGAGCUAAAAGAAACCUUGUAUGAGCGCACUAAGCAGUCAACAUGGUUAUAAAAUCAAAGACAUAACAUGGCGUCGAAUGUAUGAUAAAUUCCCUAACAACGAAAGCAGCAAAGCACCAGUGUUAAUUUCGUCGACGAAAACUAUGACGAAAAUUUUUCGGUAACGAACCUUUUUUCCAUGACUAAGACGAGACUAAGACGUGACAAACGAUCUUAAAAAAUAAAAACUAUGACUAAAUCUAUUUUAACUUUCGCUAACGAGACAAGACGAACAUGUUGGUGGUUGACGAAAUCACGAUACUUUUUUCCCCCUAAAUUUCCACGCAGCUGACUGAAAACAGACCGGCAAAGAACGGCGGAUAUUAACGUGUCAUAAUUGGGACCACUGUCCUGACCCUCUGUUGUUUGCAGUGCGGGAGGUCCCCCAGCCCUCCACGGGAUUUUCUCCUUUUGAACUUUUCGGUGGGUGGUCGACUCUCUACGCUACUACCUCCUGGGACGCUCUUUCACCCUCUGUUCGGAGAAGGGAGUGGUUCAGGGAACGGCGCCGGGGGAGGCAAUUGGCCUCAGCUGAAAUUAACCAGUGUGUGUAUUCUGCCUUGUUAAGUAGGAGAGAUCCGGCGACAGCGGGGGUGCGAGGCGAGGAGGCUGGAGCCCGCUGUACGUUAUUUUGCAUGAACAUUAAAAUAAAGUGCGUACAAUGGAACAGACCGCUGCAUUCUCGUUAUUCCGAGACCCCC
ensembl:lncRNA